rnacentral:rRNA from 1 species
UACGUAGGGGGGCAAGCGUUGUCCGGAUUUAUUGGGCGUAAAGCGCUCGCAGGUGGUUCGUUGCGUCGUGCGUGAAAGACCCCGGCUCAACUGGGGAGGGUCGUGCGAUACGGGCGAACUGGAGGCCAGUAGGGGGAUGCGGAAUUCCGGGUGUAGUGGUGGAAUGCGUAGAGAUCCGGAGGAACACCAGCGGCGAAGGCGGCAUCCUGGACUGGUCCUGACACUCAUGAGCGAAAGCGUGGGGAGCGAUCCGG